AAGAAAGAGGGUUGAAACCUUCAUGACAAUGCUAGAGAAUUAACAGUGAGAGAUGCAUUAAGCAACAACACAGUUUUGCCUUUUACAAGCUCCCUGAGGUUUUUAUUUCAGUCAGAGGACCAAGAUUUCAGUUCAAGUCACUGGAAGAAAAGAGCUGUCAUUUAUGCUCUCUACUUACAGGUAAAUUGUCUUGUGAUUAUUUCCACAGAACUCUGACUUGGAUAAGACUUGUAUCCAUUUUAUUACGAU
rnacentral:lncRNA from 1 species